AUGAUUUUUGACUCACCCUAUAGUAAAAUUGGAUUAAUACAGAGAAGCUUAGUAUAGCCCCUUCACAAGGAUGAUAUGCAAAUUCAUGAAGUGUUCCAUAUUCUU